rnacentral:lncRNA from 1 species
UCCUCAGAUUCAGCGUCAGCACGAUCGCGAAUCUCCGUAGCUUCUUUCGGGUGCUCUCGGGCCCAGCUAUGGACAUCAUCAACUUCAAAACCAGGGCAUACGUGAGGGCCCAGAUCCACCAGAUCAUUAUAAUCUCGCACGUUAGCGAGAAACUCGGUUUGAAUCUUGCCCAGAGUUUCCAUCAUCCUCUGGUUUUCUUCAGUCUUUUCAGCCAAGGCAGCUUUCAAGUUCUCAAUUUCAGCCUCCCUGUCACUCAGCUAUUGGGAAGUAUCAUUGUGCUUCUUUUGUAGCACUUCCCACUCCGCGUGCUCUUCAUUCAAUCGCACCGUAAGAAGAUUCUUUUCAUACAUCGCCGAGUCAAAGGACUCUCUGGUAGAUUUAAGUUCCUGAGUAAGUCCCUG